AACGAACGCUGGCGGCAUGCCUAACACAUGCAAGUCGAACGAGACCUUCGGGUCUAGUGGCGCACGGGUGCGUAACGCGUGGGAACCUGCCCUUAGGUUCGGAAUAACUCCCCGAAAGGGGUGCUAAUACCGGAUAAUGUCUUCGGACCAAAGAUUUGGCGCCUGUGGAUGGGCUCGCGGUUGAUUAGCUUGUUGGUAGGGUAAAAGCCUACCAAGGCGAGGAUCGAUAGCUGGUGUGAGAGGAUGAUCGGCCAAGCUGGGACGGGGAUAAGGCACAGACGACAACGGGAGGCAGGAGUGGGGAAUGGUGUAUAAUGGGAGGGAGCAGGAUGUAGCAACGCAGCGUGGGGGAUGACAGGCAUCGGGUUGUAUACCACAUCCGCUUGAGACGGAGCGUGAGUGACGGUAAUGGGUAAAGAAGCACCGGCUAACUACGUG
rnacentral:rRNA from 1 species